rnacentral:tRNA from 11 species
GGGCCUGUAGCUCAGUUGGGAGAGCGCUGCGUUCGCAUCGCAGAGGUCAAGGGUUCGAAUCCCUCCAGGUCCACCA